rnacentral:rRNA from 1 species
UCCCUAGUUCGGAUUGUAGGCUGAAACUCGCCUACAUGAAGCUGGAAUUGCUAGUAAUCACAGGUCAGCAUACUGUGGUGAAUACGUUCCCGGGCCUUGUACACACCGCCCGUCACACCAUGAGAGUUGAGAAUACCCGAAGCCCAUGUCAAAGUGGUCGAAGGUAGGCUUGAUGAUUGGGGUGAAGUCGUAACAAGGUAGC